rnacentral:tRNA from 1 species
GGGGAAGGAUACGGCCCGGUGGCCGUACCGGUCUUCAAAACCGAGUUGCGUGGCGUAAGUUGCGCGGAUGGUUCGACUCCAUCCCUUCUCCGCCA